rnacentral:rRNA from 1 species
UACGUAGGGUGCGAGCGUUAAUCGGAAUUACUGGGCGUAAAGCGUGCGUAGGUGGUGAGUUAAGUCUAAUGUGAAAUCCCCGGGCUCAACCUGGGAAUGGCAUUGGAUACUGGCUCACUAGAGUGCGGUAGAGGGUGGUGGAAUUCCCGGUGUAGCAGUGAAAUGCGUAGAGAUCGGGAGGAACAUCUGUGGCGAAGGCGGCCACCUGGACCAACGCUGACACUGAGGCACGAAAGCGUGGGGAGCAAACAGG